CCCCCCUGCCCCAAACAACGCAUCCCCCCCACCCACCCCCCCGUUUCCCAUUGCAGUGAGCUGGAUUACUACGACUCCCCCAGCGUCAACGCGCGGUGCCAGAAGAUCUGCGACCAGUGGGACGUGCUGGGCUCCCUGACCCACAGCCGCAGGGAAGCCCUGGAGAAAACGGAGAAGCAGCUGGAAACCAUCGAUGAGCUGCACCUGGAAUACGCCAAGAGGGCAGCGCCCUUCAACAACUGGAUGGAGAGCGCCAUGGAGGACCUGCAGGACAUGUUCAUCGUGCACACCAUCGAGGAGAUCGAGGUGGGGGGGGGGUCUCAAAUGGGGGGGCAGGUCGUAGAGUCGUAGGAUCAUAGAAUCACCGAGGUUGGAAAGGACCUAAAAGCUCAUCCGGUCCAACCGUUCCCCUGUAUUCCCAAUAGCUCCCACUAAAGCACGUCCCUCAACACCACAGCCAGUCUGUGUAGCCCUGUGGGUUCCCAUGUAUCCCUAUGGGUCUCCCAUGUAUCCCUAUGGGUCCCCUAUGGGUCCCCCAUGUAUCCCUAUGGGUCCCCCAUGUAUCCCUAUGGGUCCCCUCUGGGUCCCCAUGUAUCCCUAUAGAUCCCCCAUGUAUCCCUAUGGGGUCCCUAUGGGUCCCCCAUGUAUCCCUGUGGGUCCCCAUGCAUCCCUGUGGUCCCCCAUGUAUCCCUAUGUGUCCCCCUGUAUCCCUCUGGUCCCCCAUGUAUCCCUAUAGAUCCCCCAUGCAUCCCUGUGGGUCCCCAUGCAUCCCUACGGUCCCCCAUGCAUCCCUAGGGGUUCCCCACGUAUUCUAUGGGUCCCCAUGUAUCCCUAUAGGUUCCCUAUGUAUCCCUAUAGUCCCCCACGUAUCCCUGUGGGUCCCCAUGCAUCCUUGGGGGGGGUCCCCAUGCAUCCCUGUGGUCCCUCGUGUAUCCCUGUGGGUCCCCACGCAUCCCUAUGGUCCCCCAUGCAUCCCUGUGGGUUCCCCAUGCAUCCCUGUGGGUCCCCUAUGUAUCCCUGUGGGUUCCCCACGUAUUCUAUGGGUCCCCAUGCAUCCCUAUGGGUCCCCCACGCACCCCUGUGGGUCCCUCCAGCCACCCAGCAUCACCUGGGGUCUGGUUGCAGCCAGAACGCAGGACCCAGCAUUUGUUCUGGGUGAACCUCAUCCCAUUGGCUUCAGCCCAGCUCUCCAGAUCCCAUAUGGCAGAUCCAACCCUUCGGUGUCACCUCCAAAUUUACUCAGUGCCCCCACAUCCAGCCCAUCCAUAAAGAUAUCAAACAGGACAGGUGCCAGCAUCCCCAUCAGCUGGCUUCAACUCCACUCACCACCCCUUUCUGAUCCCAGCUCCUUCCCCAGCCAGAUCCAACACUUUCAGCCAAUUUGCCAUCACCUCCAAAGUUACUCAGGUGCCCCCACAUCCAGCUCAUCCAUACAGAUAUCAAACAGGACAGGACCCAGCAUCCCCACCAGCUGGAUUUAACUCCAUUAACUCCAUUCACCACCACUCUCUGAGCCCAGCUCCUUCCCCAUCCAGAUCCAACACUUCCAGCCAAUUCAGCAUCACCUCCAAAUUUACUCAGGGUGCCCCCAAUGUACUCAGGGUGCACUCGAUGCCCCCUCAUCCAGCUCAUCCAUAAAGAUAUCUAACAGGACAGGUCCCAGCAUCCCCACCAGCUGGAUUUAACUCCAUUCACCACCCCUUUCUGAUCCCAGCUCCUUCCCCAUCCAGAUCCAACACUUCCAGCCAAUUCAGCAUCACCUCCAAUUCAGCAUCACCUCCAAAGUUACUCAGGGUGCCCCCACAUCCAGCCCAUCCAUACAGAUAUCAAACAGGACAGGACCCAGCAUCCCCACCAGCUGGAUUUCACUCCAUUCACCACCACUCUCUGAUCCCAGCUCCUCCCCAUCCAGAUCCAACACUUCCAGCCAAUUCAGCAUCACCUCCAAUUCAGCAUCACCUCCAAAUUUACUCAGGGUGCCCCCAAUUUACUCAGGGUGCACUUGAUGCCCCCACAUCCAGCCCAUCAGUAAAGAUAUCAAACAGGACA
rnacentral:lncRNA from 1 species